rnacentral:lncRNA from 1 species
AAAGGAGUAGGUUCAGUAAGACCCCGUUUUGGCCCCAAAAUAUAGCAGUUUUACAAAAGUGUGAAAAUGUAACCUUUCAGCUAUUUAUUGGAAAGUAGAAUGCUUCUGCUACAUAAAUAUGGGCUGUUUUUGACAAUACAAUGCACAUAUAUCGAGUACUAGCAUCAUUAAGUCGUGCUAAAUUACAAAAAUCUUCAUAUUAAUUUCAGCAUUUUUGUUAAAUUUUAGACGGUUUCCGUCUUAAAUGAAAGUGGCCGCAUUCGUGUUCAUCCAUAAUAUUGAAAUGCAAGUUGUAUUUGAUGAUAUUACAUAACAUAUAUAAAGGUUAAG